UUUCCAUGAUGAAUUUAACUAGCUCACUAUGACUGACUUUUCACACAUGAACACCUGAGAAAU
ensembl:snoRNA SNORD29 Small nucleolar RNA SNORD29